CAAGACUUGCCUGAAACACCCCUCCCUUCGUUUUGAUAGUCUCCUCUACCCUACCUGUGCAAUCUGAAUGCAGGUAUGUAUGUACGCUCAGUUAGUCACGUGACAACCAAACCAAAAGAGGUUGACCAUAUUCCAUGGGUAUGGGACUCUGCCCCACAUGCUUGAAGUGCGUGUGGGAGCCCCGCUAAUAUUUUAAUUGCCUUUACCCUUGAACUUCCAGAAGUGAUUGACGUGUAACUUCUCCCUAAAAUAUUCAUACAUUAUCUAGUGAAAAGGUAAUGAGAAUACUCAAAAUUAUCAAGUGGAUGUUGUAAUCUUAAUCUGACACAAAGUUCUUACAAGAAAUGUGUAGCAGCUAGAGGGGAGGAUUUUAGAAUAUCACUUCAUGAUGCUCUUGACAUUGUGAAAGUUUCCUUUUCAUUAGUAUUCUUUCAAUACUUAGUUAUCAAAAAGACACAAAUAGUUCUUUUUCAUCACAAUGUUUUCCUGUCAUUGCAACCAAGAAAAUAUUCAUUUAUAACAACUCUAAAUUAAUUUCUUUUGAUUUAUGUGACUUUCGCAAAAAUUGCCAUGAAAAUUUUGGAACGAUUAGGAAAGGGCAAAUCAAAUAUGUAAUCGGCCAUACAAGUUAAAAUUCUUGUCAGUUGAGUUUUGUUGAAUCAAAACCAAAGUCAUGGUAAGUAGUACAGCCAAUAAGAACAUAGGAAAAGAUCGUGAGGAGCCAAUCAGAAUAAAGGAUGAUAAUAGAAGGAGCCAAUCAGAAGUCAAAGCAAAAGAAAGCAAGUAAACCUCUUGGGGCACGGAACCAGGCAGGUAAAAAGUCACAUUUUGAUUUAAUUCUGGAUCUGAUUGGUUGGGAAAGUGGUGUAAGUUUUCUGGACCAAUCACAAAACUUUUGACACUCAAUUGAAAACUGCUCCACAGAUGCUACAUGUGUUGGAAGGUUAAAAAAUCAAGCUUGAUAAAAACUGCGUUCUCACUUAGUAUUGUAAACAAAAUUGGAUUCAGUUUCAUGUUAUACAUAGCACUGGAUUUUUCCAUUUGAUCAAGGAAUAUACAUUUCUUUAAAAGAAAAUGCUAUGUUUGCUUGUUUCAAGUGAAUAAUUGGCAAUAAAAGCAGUAUUUAUUGUUUCCAUUUCAUUUUGUAAUUUUAACCUUCUUUCAGUUAGAGCUCAAAAGCACUCCAUCAGGAAUUAAUAUGUGAAAAAACUCUAUAGGCAAACCACAGUGUUAGCAGAUCAAUAGGGAACGCUUUGGGAACUUUAUGUCUUAACCAAUUUAAGGACAUACUACUUGGACACACUCUAGUCACUUGAGGAAAUUUUAUGCAUCAAUUCUUAAAGAGGGGGCCACAGUUUGUAUACAGUUUUGGAACUGUUUGAGAAUGUACUUAAAAAAACCUUUGUGUCUAUUUUUCAAGAACAGAAAUACUGUGCACUCUGGACCAGUGCUAUCUCAGUAUAAAUGAAAAAAAAAACAGCUACCAGCACAAUCCGAUACAGUGGUGUCAAAUGGAGCUUACAGAGGUUUCGCGGAAUCAGAGACGGCGCAUUAUUGGCGCCCAGGCCCCGGCUGUUCGAAGGUUGGAUAACCCUAUUUAGUGUAUAAAUCCCUAUCCGGUAGAUAGUGCAUUACGUUUUGCAAUUACUUAUCCUGUGGAUAGCGAUUUAUCUGUUGGAUAGCGUUAUCCGUUCUUUAUACAACUGGGCCCAGAUCGAAGAGAAACGGGAACCCCACCCAAAAAGGAAAAACCAAAUACCACAUCGAAUACUAAAUCCAAAAACCCGUUAGUUUUUUGGAUGAAAACCGAAAACCAAAUGCACAAAACGGAAAAUGAAACGAUGAUUACCCAAGUUGUAUUUUAAGACAAGCAGUUGUCACUGUAACACAGGUUCAUGUAAAUAGGCAAUUGUUUUUUUUUUCGCAAAUGGCAAAAUGUACUGAAUUACAGUGAGAAUUGACGGAAAAGUAAUUUGUGACUCAUGUGUGCCUUAGAUUAGAUUGAUUUGUACCUUCAUGACGGUUUCUAGCAGAUUGAAGUUUUAUGUGUUUGCUUUGGUGGACAUUGAGCGAGAAUUGAUUGAUCCACAGGAGGAUGAAUUUGACAAGUUUAUAUUGAAUGAAUUAAUUUGACAAAACAAUGUAGAUAUAAACUGUAUGACCUAACCACUCAAACAAUUAAGAUAUAAAAUUUCCCUUCUCUCUCAGCUUGUUGCUAAGUGGUCUGAGAAAUAACAGUUUUGCUCACCGUACGUUCGGCCUCGAUGCAAUUCUGAGCCAUAGCUGAGUUCUCCUAUCAUUUUCCUUUUUCCUUCUCUCUUCUUUUCUUUGAUUCUACAUUAUAAAGGUGCUGACAUUGAGAAAGUAUUGAACAAUCAAGAGCUUCUUUAGUUGGUGAUCAUUUCCUCUAUUCUCAAUUAACAGCAAAACAAACCAGUCCUCGAAGCGUGAAGACGUAAGCUAGACGAACAUGAUGAAGUUUUGAAGAAGAACGAACUUGGAAGUAAUACGAAGAAACGUUAACGAAAGGAAAGGAAGUGUUUUCUCUACUUUAACAAAGGCCGGAAAACUUCUUGAAGAGGACAAAGAUGGAGAAAUGUCCAAUCAAAAGGACAGCUGGAACUACUGGAAUUACCAGAAGAUUCGACAAAGAUAAGAACUUUACAUUAUUCAAUUUUUUUUUGUAAAACGGUGACUGAACAAAUGUCGAAAAUUUUCCAAGAAGUUCACUCUUUAUUGUAUCGGGUCACACUUGUGAAUUAUCCGCAUUGCCAAAAAAAAUACCUCAGUUUGUGGACAGGAUAGAGGAAAUAGUUUUACGAGGUACUUAUUGUUUUGCAGAUCAACAUGCAUUCUCAGCGAUUAUAAAUCAAACAAUUCACGCUAAAAAUACUGAAUUUGUCGUUCUUCAGACGAAAGAAAAGACAAGGUUUAGAUUUUAAUCUAUGACCUCGUUUGUUUGGUCUAAAGUACAAGAUGCGAAGCAUUUAGAUAAAUUAUUUUUGGUAUGUUUCGGAUGGUAAUUACUAAAUGAAAAACAACAACGAGCUUGUGAUAUUAUUUGGACCGAGUUGUUUGGUAUGGAAUUUAUAAAUGCAAAGCAAUUCAGUACCUCAAGUCGCCAUUCAAUUUACGUAGCUAUCAUUAUUGCAUAUUAUGGCCGCAAAGGGUGUAAUUAAGGUGGAAAUACUGGUCAAUUAAGACAAUAGAACACUUUUCAUGGAGUUUUCCUUUCAUGUGAGAGAAGGAUCAAUAGGUUACGACCUAAAAAACCUCGAGUAGAAAAAUAUGUUUGCAUUGACUGGAGAAGUCACUUUGUUACAAGUAUACUCACGGUGUUAGUGGAGAAGAUAGAUGACGAAAAUGUCGAUUUUCCGUUUGGGUUCUUUUGACCACAAAGGAAAUCUUUAAGCACAUAGGACUGAUGCAUCGGUCGCAGUUGACCGUGCCGCCUUAAUUACUUCGAUUUGCUCUGGCCAUUAAGUAGAUAAUGUAUAACCGAAAAGAGAACAGUGGCUUUUUGCAUUUGAUUCCUAUUGGCUUGUUUUGAGAUGCCGACGGUUAAGCUUUCUAGCAAAAUAAUUACCCAAAACUUAAGGAGCGCUGACAAAAUACGUGAAGGAAAUUCUCACCAAAUUAAGGAAACAACUGAAACGAACAGAAUCUUGACUUCUAUUUUGGUGACAAUAUCAUUCACGAGGGACUCUUGUACAUGGGCCUAUCCCAUAAUACUCGCAAUGCGUUAAUAAUUACGUAAUGACAUUAGUGACACUGUUACGUGAUAUGAAACUAGACUUUUUGAUGUCUGCUUGCCACCAUGUUAACAACUAUCGGCUUAUAACGAACAACGUAGCGAAACAUUUCAUUGACUAUACGAUUAAACAGAACCCAGCGACAUAUAUAAUUCUGCCAACUUAUCAAACUGACCUGACAAACGAUGCUGGAGUAUUACAGCCAAUGACGCAUAGGCAAAACGGACCAAUCACAUUUCUCAAACCAGACUUGGCAUUGCACAGACAGAAAACUCUUCGCGUGAUGCCGUAAUGAUGAGCUUCGCUCAUCUUCUUAGCCUACGGACUUUGGAAAGCUGGUCACAGAACUGAACAUGAUCGACUGGCCAUACAUUUCCGUAUGAAACGCUGAUCUAACAAAAACCUUCAAUGACUGACUUCUAAAAACCUGAUUGAUCAGCAUAAAAUAAUCUUGCAUCAACAUACGUCAUCAAUGAAAACCGUCGACUUCACUUGUAGACCUACGUACGACAUAACAUCGAGGGUUUCAAGACAGUAAGAUCCACCUUCACAGACGGGUCAAUAUCGACUCUAACUGAUUAGUCACUGACCGAAAACGUUUCAGUUCGCUUUUAGAUGAAAUCAGUCAGAUUUUCGAAUCGUAAAUCGCCUGCAACAAGAAAUUUUUACUUUUUGCCAUUGUUCUCUUGUCCGUUAUAGUUGAUUAGAAACCAUAGUGUCUGGUUCAGAAAAAAAUCAAAAUGCAACGAUUUUUAUAAAACUUCGGCAGGUUGUGCAUAUCAGCUGCUAUCACAAAAGUCAGCAAAUCAAAAGAGUGAACCAAAGGAAUGUGUAAGAAAAAUUUUUAAUACGGAAAGAAUUGAGAGGCUGGAAAUAUCUUCAACUUGCAAUUUAUCAUCUUGACGAAAGUCAGAAUUCAUGACCUAUUGGAAUGGGAGCUGACAAAAAUACACAACGAUGACAAACAAAAAUCGCAAAUUAUGUCGUCGUGAUUUUUUUGUCACAUUUUUGUUUUCCGCAGCCUGUCUUGCUUUCUUGAAAAACUUUGUUUUUAAAGGAGAAUAAACUCGGUUAUUAAUUUUUUUCUUGAACCAGACACAGUGGUUUAUCUAACUUUGUAAUAAACUAAGAGAGGAAAAAAAUUUUGCGCCAGCAUUUAUUGUAACAUAGGACAGAAAAGACGCGUAUCAAAUUUUUUUGACUUUAAGAAAAUAUUUUAGUUGAAUGGCUCAACAGCAAAUUAUAUACACUCAAAAUUCUUCACGCAACGAAAAUUUAACAUUUAUUUCUAGCAAUCGAAUUGUGAUUGUCAGGCUAAGAAAAACAACUCACUUCUGUUGCUUGUUUUGGACAAAACCUCGACAGAGUGGAAUAAAAGAAUCGGUUCCACAAGGAACUGUUUAGAAACCGCAAAUAGAUUUCUCUCACAAAAUGUUCUUUCAGGAGACAUUGAGCCAAGUGAUUGAAUUAUUUUCUUGCCAGUAAAAGAAACUCACUGCUUGCUCGUGUCUUCGAACAAACUGACAACAGAACAGAAUAAGAGAAGGUAGUCAUUAGAAGAAAAGACUAAAAAUUAUUCAUUCCAGAAAUUUUUGGUAGACAUCGAGAUAGCAAUUGAAUUGUUGUUGUCUCACCAAGAAGAAAAAAACAUGAUAAAACUUGGUGGUGUCUUUGACCUGAUGGUCAGUCUAAUGACAAAUUGCUUUUAAAAGCAUCAUUUGAAAUGAAGCAAUUAUUUAGGUUUGAUAAAUUCUAACCAGGUGAACAUUUUAUCGCAAAAAAAUCCGAUAAAAUUAAGGAAAGUUAUUUUAAAGUUUCGAAGUUUCUUUGCGCUUUUAAUUUUUAUUUGUCCUGUGUUGCAAACAGUAGCUGGCAGCAAAAAAUCGUUUUAUUUCUCUCGGAAGCAACAUGAAAAGUUAGAAGCCGAGAGAGUUAAAGUUGAAAUUGGAAAACAAAUCAUGGAAACGUGAAAAGGGAUGUAUUUUUCAAAAAGUUUAAUCGAAAAGGCUUUAUCCUCUUCGUGUUGCUUCUCUAUAUUUUGUGUUAAAAAUUUUUCCUCGUGCAUAAAAUUGAAAGAUCAACCCGAAAUUUUAUAUUACAAGGGAAAAUUUCCUAUUUUCACCCAGUUCUUUUUUUGUACGAGGCAAUAUUCGUAUAAAUUUGGCGGGAAAGCAAAAGUACCUCUUUAAAUUUUUGGCGAAAAAGUUACCAGGGAAAAAACUCUGUGCAAAUUGGUCCAGAUUUUCCCGCCUAAAGUCUUAGUAUAUACGAGUACAUUUUCUUACACACCGUUUUGAUUAAUUAGUCGAAAUUCAAUUAACUAUGUAAGACACUUUGAGUCAAAUUAAACUUAAUUGUUUGUUGGCUUGCUUUGUGAGACAAUAAAAGAUCAAAGAAAACUCUUUAAUAUAGAUCAAAUACGCAACAGUCUUGACAAGUAAAUAAGUAGCUUUUAUUAGUAAAAAUAUUACACCUGAAAAUAAGAAAAAAAAAAUUGGCGCAUGCGUAUUCUGAGCGCCCGUAUUUUUCUAAGUCUUUUGGCGGGAAAAUUGAGCAAUUUCAAACAGAUGUUAUAGAGAAGCGAUUUUUAAAACAGCUGGCGUAUGCGUCUUUGAAGCGCCCGCAAGUUUUUUUUUUUGGCGGGAAAACUCUAAAUUUUUAAUUGCCCCGCUACAUAAACUGUUCAAAAUUUCAUUCAAAUUGUGAAAUUAAUUGUGACAUUUGGCUUCAAGUCCGAGUUUAUGGAAAAUGUAUCUAAUUCUAUGACUCGCUGGAUGCUUGAGAAAUUGCGCUACAACUGUUAUGUACCUCCCAAAUAAAAAUCCUGCUUUUGGCUGGAUGCUUGCUUAGUCUUCUUUAUUUGAUUCGUGCGUGAAGAAUCAGAGAUAUUGACUGGACAAUC